GCACUCGCUUCAGCAGCACAUAUACUGAAACUGGAACAAUACAGAGAAGAUUAGCAUAGCCCCUGUGAAGGGAUGACAUGCAAAUUGGUGUGUCCCACUUUUUUUUU
ensembl:snRNA U6 U6 spliceosomal RNA